CCCAUUGUAAUGGUAGUUCGAAAGGUGUCCCCUUUUUCUAGGCUGUUCAUAGACUUGCUCAUAAGUCGAUGAUUAGAACCACAACCUGCUUCUUCAUGACCAAAAGGCUAUACAAAUUUUUCUGAGUAACGGUAUCGGAUCAGACCCAGCUCUUCACACAUAGUUCCUUCAAAAAAUUAAAGCACAGUGCUCCCAUAAUGGAGAAGUCAAAUUCAGGAUUGCAUUGAUGAAGGUGUCUCGAUAAUUUUGACAAGCACAUUUUU